rnacentral:rRNA from 1 species
UUUGAAAUCUGGCUCUCGGGCCCGAGUUGUAAUUUGUAGAGGAUGCUUUUGGCGAGGUGGCUUCUGAGUUCCCUGGAACGGGACGCCAGAGAGGGUGAGAGCCCCGUAUAGUCGCACACCAAGCCUUUGUAAAGCUCCUUCGACGAGUCGAGUAGUUUGGGAAUGCUGCUCAAAAUGGGAGGUAUAUCUCUUCUAAAGCUAAAUAUAGGCCAGAGACCGAUAGCGCACAAGUAGAGUGAUCGAAAGAUGAAAAGCACUUUGAAAAGAGGGUUAAAUAGCACGUGAAAUUGUUGAAAGGGAAGCGCUUGUGACCAGACUUGUGCCGGGCUGAUCAUCCACCGUUCUCGGUGGUGCACUCGACCCGGCUCAGGCCAGCGUCGGUUCUCGUAGGGGGAUAAAAGCUUCGGGAACGUGGCACCUUCGGGUGUGUUAUAGCCCGUUGCUUAAUACCCUUGUGGGGACCGAGGUUCGCGCUCUGCAAGGACGCUGGCAUAAUGGUCAUCAGCGACCCGUC